rnacentral:lncRNA from 1 species
UUUGAAAGGCUAAGGGGCAAAUUAGGAAUUUGCCUGCAUAAGGAAUUAUAGCAGUUAAGGAGUUUUGAGCGUGCAACCCCAUUUUUCACUUCGCUCCCACCAGUGAUGCACGCUAAUUCCGGGCAAUCAUAUCAAAAUUGCCAUAACCGUGUCAUAACAUGCAAUCAACUCUCUUUCACCUACUGUCCCACUGAUUGUGCUUUGUUUGAAGUUCAAUUCAAUGAAAAACUAUUUUAUUCCAAUCAGAUCACCAUGUUAAAC